GGACUGGUUGGUGUAGUGGUCUAGCAAGUCGCGUCCGAAUGUGAAGACGAAUGGUUCGAUUCCUUCCCGGUCCA
rnacentral:tRNA from 1 species